rnacentral:rRNA from 1 species
CUCGAACCAAAAAGAGCUAAAAUUAUAUUAUAUAAAUGUUUCAUAAUUUUUUAGAAUAUAAUUUUAGUAAUGAAACGUUAUUCGUUUUUUGAUAUAUCUAGUUUUUUGAGAAAUUAAUUUAAUUUGACUAUCUUUAAAAUUAUUUUUAUUUAAUAAUAUGAUUUUGGGGAUAAUAAAUUUUUUUAGGGAAAAGCUUAAAAAAAUAAAUUUAUUUAAUUUUAGUAUUGGAUUUGUAAGUAGGAUUAAAAUUUUCCAUCAUUUUUAGAACGUUAUAAUUUUUUUAUUACAAAUUAUUAUUUAUAUGUUUAAUAAAUUUUUUAUCAAAAUUUUAAAUAAAAUGAAUUUAUUUAAGUAAUAAUGAUUAAAUUAGUAUAUUUGAAUGUAUUUAUAUACAGGUGUCAGAGAUAUAAAUAAUGAAUUCGGCAAAAAAAUUUUUUACCUGUUUAUUAAAAACAUGUCCUUUUGAGAAAAAUAAAAGGUCGGGCCUGCUCAAUGACUAGGUUAAAUAGCUGCAGUAUCUUGACUGUACAAAGGUAGCAUAAUCAUUAGUUUCUUAAUUGGGAACUGGAAUGAAAGGUUUGAUAAAAAAGUGACUGUCUCUUUUAUAAAUAUAGAAAUUUAUUUUUAAGUAAAAAAGCUUAAAUUUAUUUAAAAGACGAGAAGACCCUAUAGAGUUUUAUAAUUUAUUAAUUUUAAUAAGGAAGAUAAAUUAUUUAUUUAAAUUUUGUUAAUUAUUUGGUUGGGGUGAUUUAAAAAUUAAUAAAACUUUUUAGAAAAAUGACUAUAAUUUUAGAUUAAUUUGAUCCAUCUUUGAUGAUUAAAAGAAUAAAUUACCUUAGGGAUAACAGCGUAAUCUUUUUUUAGAGUUCAAAUCAAUAAAAAGGAUUGCGACCUCGAUGUUGGAUUAAAAUAAACUUUUCGGCGCAAAGGCUAAAUAGUUGAGUCUGUUCGACUUUUAAAAUUUUACAUGAUCUGAGUUUAAACCGGUGUGAGCCAGGUUGGUUUCUAUCUUUAAUUAAAUAGAAAAUUUUAGUACGAAAGGACCAAAUUUU